rnacentral:tRNA from 1 species
GCCCCGGUAGCUCAACCGGAUAGAGCAGCGGAUUUCUAAUCCGCAGGUUGCAGGUUCAAGUCCUGCCCGGGGUGCCA